GCGGAUAUGGCGGAACGGCAGACGCAGCAGACUCAAAAUCUGCCAGGGCGACCUGUGUGGGUUCAAAUCCCACUAUCCGCA
rnacentral:tRNA from 1 species